GCAGGAAAGAAUAUCCAUGGGAAAAAAAGAAAGUCUCUUCCACAAACGGUACUGGUAAAACUGGACAGCAACAUGUGGAGGAAUGAAACUGGACCACUUUCUUACACCAUACAGAAAAAUGAA